GAUGAACGCUGGCGGCGUGCCUAAUACAUGCAAGUCGAGCGAACGGACGAGAAGCUUGCUUCUCUGAUGUUAGCGGCGGACGGGUGAGUAACACGUGGAUAACCUACCUAUAAGACUGGGAUAACUUCGGGAAACCGGAGCUAAUACCGGAUAAUAUUUUGAACCGCAUGGUUCAAAAGUGAAAGACGGUCUUGCUGUCACUUAUAGAUGGAUCCGCGCUGCAUUAGCUAGUUGGUAAGGUAACGGCUUACCAAGGCAACGAUGCAUAGCCGACCUGAGAGGGGGAUGGCCCAAACGGGAACUGAGAAACGGCCCAGCCCCCUAGGGGGGGCAGCAGUGGGGAAUUUCCCGAAAGGGGGGAAAGCCGGAGGGAGCAACGCCGCGGGAGUGAUGAAGGUUUUGGGAUCGUAAACCUCUUUUUUUGGGGAAAAAAAUUUGUGAAAGUAACGGUGCACAUCUUGACGGUACCAAAUCAGAAAGCCACGGCUAACUACGU
rnacentral:rRNA from 1 species